GGAAAUGUCUAUAGCUCAGUGGCAGAGCUUUGCAUGCACAAGGUCCCAGGUUCAAUCCCUGGUGUCUCCA